rnacentral:tRNA from 1 species
GGUGAUGUGGCCGAGGGGUUAGGCAGCGGAUUGCAAAUCCGUGUACGUCGGUUCAAAUCCGGCCAUCACCUCCA